AGGAGCCUGAUGAGCUGCAGUCCUUGGGGUCACAGAGUCACACAUGAUUGAGUGUCUAAACAACAGCAACAACAGCACUUUCAGGAAUUGCACCAAUCGCAAGUUUAGCUGAAUAAAUGAUCACGUGAUGAACAUACCCAGAAGUUGAGAAGUAUGUAGGAUGUGUGAUGCAGAGGGGAGUAUACUGUCUCUGGAACUGACUCCGAGUUACCAAACUGUGAAUGAGGCUCCAGCUAACCCUGAGGGGAAGGACAUGUGAAGUGAGUAUACUGUGAACAUUACAAAAUAAAAUGGAUGUGUUUCUCCACAAGUGAUGAAAAUGA